GACGUAGGGCGCGAGCGUUGUCCGGAUUUAUUGGGCGUAAAGAGCUCGUAGGCGGCGUGUCGCGUCGGGGAGUGAAAGCCCGUUGCUUAACGGCGGGUUGGCUUUCGGUACGGGCAUGCUGGAGUGCGGCAGGGGAGACUGGAAUUCCUGGUGUAGCGGUGGAAUGCGCAGAUAUCAGGAGGAACACCGGUGGCGAAGGCGGGGUCUCUGGGCCGUUACUGGACGCUGGAGGAGCGAAAGCGUGGGGAGCGAACAGG
rnacentral:rRNA from 1 species